UGUUCACACUGUAGAGUGCAGAAUGAAACUCAAUGACCUAUUCAAGGUCGAGUCUGCCGGCAGACAUAAAUGGAUUUUCUUUUGCAACAUCUCAUUUGUGCAAUGGCAGAAUCCAAAUUAGGUUAAUCCUCCACAUUUAAGUACACUAUUAUUAUUUGUAAUUGAUUAAAUCAAAUUGAGGAUGUAACAUUUUCAAUGUGAAUAACUGUAGUUCAUGCCUGAGCACAGAAGAGCCAACUGUACGAAUGCUCUGCACAUCAAUUAUAUGUACACAUAAAGUCUCUCUACGCAACGUUUGGGGCAAAUGAGUAAAAAUAGGAAACAUUUUCCUACCCAUGAGUUUCUUGCUUGUUAAGAUCUGUACCCACAUGUCACAUUUUUUUCCAAGCAUUAGCCAGUUUAAUCCCUGUGUACGCUUACAUGUACACUAUGAGGGGCUUGCCAUAGCAACUUGGCGCACGUAGCAUAAAUAUAACAGAGUAUACACAUAGACAGCGUGUAUACACUAGGAUACAGAACUAUGUACACGUCACGCACAACUGUACACACAUGUACAUAGAUCCAAAGCUUGCACUGGUUGUAUUUAUAUCAGCACAUCACAAGUCGUCUUGAAGUGCCUUUCACCAGACUUUUGACAGACUGCAGAAGAGGGAAACAUCAAAUAUUUUGUGGCAGACCUGAGUGGGAGUUGUGCUCACAAUUGCUCCUGUCAUGCCGAUCUGAGCUCGCCUGGCUACAGCGCCGCGGUCUGCCGUGCCUGUUGCGAGCUCCGAGCUGUAUGACCCACCAUUUGGAAUCCAGCUCCAUUAUCUUUCAAACUUGACUACUUUUCGGGGGCCAAAGCGAAGAAAAGCGAAAUGCGCGCCCGGCGUCAGGUGCUACAAGCUGCUAGCUAGGCCUGCGGCCAGGGUCCAGAGAGCCAGACCUGGCAGGCUGUGUGAAACGCUACACACAAAGGAGCUCGCUCCAUCUGUAUGCACCCUACAUAGGCAGGCUUUUGUUGCAGCCGACAGGCACAUGACUGCUAGCAUCUUAACCCCCGAAAGCCAGCGUUUCUCUUCCCCUCUCAGCAAACUGAGCACUGCAGUAGACACCGCUGUGAGUUCAUGAUUUGAAGGAAAAAGCAACUUGAUUGAAGUUUAUUAGUGAUCCACAUGUUCGGGAUCUCUCUACAGAGUGUGCAUUUGAAAAAAUGAUAAUGUACUUAUCAAAUAUAGUUGGAGUGUAAUAUUUAUAAACCUACUCUUUAAAUUAUUUUACAAAUCUAUUGGUGUUCAGGCAAAAUUAAUGCUAUACAUUUUUAUAAGAAUUGGAUCAGUGCUUAAUAUUUAACAAUGAUUUGGGGUUAAUAUUGAGAUCAACUAUGGAUAGGGAAAGACCAGAGAAGAAAACAAAAAGGUGUUGAAUGUUUUCACGUUAUUUAUAUGUAAAAAUAUGCAAAUUAAUAUUUUUUGCGCUGCUGUAUAGAUUUACCAAACAAUAAUGAUGCAGGUCAGAUGCCGGUUUGUUUUGGACAUUUCAUUUUGUUUAUUGUUUAUUGCUGUUUAUUAUUUAACUUUGCUUAGUUCUCUUUACAUUUGGCAAAAAGUUGUAGGAACAGUUUGGAAAUGGGAGACCCCUCUCCAAAAUCCAUUUAAAUAUAAAUCACUAGCAUCAAGUCAAUAAGGACAAAUGUCAAUAAGGACAAAGUCCAACCCGUAGCGCCCCUCAUUUUUCAAUUUUAUUAUGACACAUGUGCGUCCUUGAGAUCAUUAAGUUGCACAUGCACAUUAACAUAUUUUUUUUCUGGGAAUGAUUUUCCUAGAAAACCACAGUUGAAGAUCAUUGAUACAAAUCAUGUUCUCUAAUUCAGAGCCUUCACAUGUGAAUUAUCUGCUUGUAGACGCCGUGUAUCCCUGCGUAACCAAGACAACUCCAGACGUAUGUGUGCAAAGCCUGAAGCAUGAAGCGUGCACACUGGUGCUCGAUAGGAAAUCAAACAAACACUCCAUUUAGACGGUCAGCCAUCUGAGCUGCACUGAAACAAACACGCGGUCACUGAGUCAGAUAAAUGCCAGAUUGUGGGAUUUGAGAGGGAAAUUAAAAUAAGGAUGGAGAGGUUGCACCACAACCGUCUACGUAUGAAAUGUGGGUAUACGGUUCGGAUUGGGGCUGUGGGCCGAGCUAGGUCACGCGAGCCCAUCCACACUGCAGUUGCUCGGUGACGUGGCAUUAAAGUGGAACCGACAGGUCUGAACCCUUAAAAGAGGUGGGACCACUCCCUGAGAAUGCCAGAGACCUGCAUGUGAGCUGAUGUUUGAUCACAGCUGCAAAGAUAAUUGUUUAUUAAUGCAGGAAGGACCCAGGCAUGUGAGCAGGGAUUCAGGACACUCCGCUGUAGCGAGCGCAGAUCCAUUUGGUCUCUCCUCUUCUCCAACCUUUGCUCUGCUCUGCUGCCGAGAGGGCUCCCUCCACAUGGAGAAGCUCCUUUUUUUGGAGAGAGGAGAUGUGGACGGACCGUGUGCUGCUGCAGAGGGACCCGGCGCGAUGAUCAACGGCGAAUUUCGGUGCUUUACCCAGGAUAGCUGAUCACCCCACCAUAUGUCUGCCAGUUGUCUCCAAAAUCUCAGUGGCGCAGUAUUUAGGAACUCAACUCCUGGGCCCUCCUCAUUGUCAAGGCCGAGGAAACCCGAGAGGAGGAGAGCUGACAAACUAAUGAGACAAGCUGACGUAAGGCGUAAGCGCAGGAAGUAUUCUGACAGCAUUCUUUGAUGUGCCACAAUUAAGACAUGAAGACAAAAUACACUGCUGCAGUUUAAUCAGUCCAUAUGUUCAGGUUCUCGGGGUCACGUCACGUUUUGACAAAAUUGAUGAAAGCUAUAACUGAAUUAGAGUACUAGGAAUAAGGAAACUUUCUUUUUUAUUUCUUAGUUCUAAAGUUAUUGAAACUUCUGAGACCAUGUUUAAAGUGAAUAAAAAUCAACCCACAAAAUAUACAAUACAAUAACACACGAGAAAUAAUGUGAGUCACACUUUUCAGCCAUCAAAAUAGAGAAGCUAUUUUCAUUCGAUUAACUUGUAUGAGAAGGGCCUUCGGUCUUCUGAGUUUGUUCUCCCAGAUCGACCAUCAGCCGCGGGAUACGAGAGACAACUGUGGCAGAUCAACGGCCCUUUGGGGUGAGGUAGUAGGUUGUAUAGUUUUAGGGUCAUUCCCAAGCUGUCAGAUGACUAUACAACUUACUGUCUUUCCUGAAGCGGCAGUAAUGGCGGCGCCUUCAUCGGCACAAAGGAUCUUUGAUUAGCUGACAAUCUUCUGAGUAUAUCUUUUAUCUCCAAUGUUAUCAAAACUAACCUUGCUGUAUUUACACAAUAGGUGCACACAGAGACAAGAUGAGUACACUUCAUGGUGCUCGUACAGGGUGAGGUAGUAGGUUGUGUGGUUUCAGGGUUGUUAUUUUACCCCAUCGGGAGUUAACUAUACAACCUACUGCCUUUCCUGGAGGGCAACAAUACAUCACAGGAGCAUUCAUGUCACCUUUCUACUCAGGAAGAAACUCAUCUGGCAUUUGAUUUCAAAUGGGUGAGUGUUGCUAAAUCACAUUAAGCAUUUCAUAGCAACCGUCAAUGCUUAACACAUUCUUUACUAAUGUGGAUACCAUGUCAUUUUACAUGGUAUCCACAUUAGUAAAAAAUGUGGCUUUGAAAAUAUCAUUUUCAGAAUCAUGAAUGUUUUAAUUUUGUACUGUUACAUCAAUUCAUAAAUAAAGUCUGGUUCAGAAAUAAUAUGAGAACAAA